rnacentral:lncRNA from 1 species
AAAGGUAAGGGAAUGAAAGGACUAAAAUCUGUACAUUUAUGUGUAUCUGGAUGUGUGUGUUUAAUGUCACUUAUAAAAAUCAUCUUUCAAUAUUCAUAUUACAUUAAGAAUACAUUAUGAAUAAAGCCUCUGCCUUUCUAGUCAGUCUCCUCCCCACUGUGUCCUCCUGCUUUAGGAUUCAUUCAUUAGAGGCAUUCCUCUUUAUUUGCACCUAAUAUGUUCCAGAAAAUGGGUUUGAUAGUAAGUUUUCAGAUAGAGAGAGUCUUUGUUUCAAUAUUUUAAAUGGGAAAAAAAUGAUAAAGAGUUUAAAGCCUAUCCAAAAAUCUCAAACCAAUUUCAUCGAACACGACUAAAAUCUUCUUAAACAUACUUAACAAUUCACCAAGGUUUUCUGCAUAAUGUAAAGCAUUUAAGACACUAAUUGCCUAAUUAUUUAAUGCUUAAUGAGGUUACAUAUUUUGUCUGAAGUUAACAACCAUACACUAAGGUAUUGAAUAUUUUUCUUCUAUACUACAACAAAUAUGUAAUAUAAAUGUACCUAAUGUAUUAGAAUAUGUUAGAAAGGUGGAUCACCUACUCUCCUUAUAAGUUUUUCACAUUCACAUAAACAUUUACAUGUAAUAAUUUGGCAAAUAUAAUAAUGAUAACGCCCAAGUUUGAACAAGGGGAACAGGGGACUCCAUCUUGUUGGGAGAACUGCUAAGAUACCCCUGCAGCAUGCUCCACCUUUAUGUGUAAACAACUUAAACGUUUUGCUGUCAAUGGCUGCAAGUUACAGUGAGUUUUCAAUUAAACUAUAAAUUUUCUGUAAAUAUUUUUUGGAAAACAAUAUAGCUUAAAGUUAAAACAUCACACACUAAUAUUAUCAUUUUAUUAUUAACACUUCAUAGUUCUUUUCACUUUCACUCCUAGCUGGGUGGGAUUUUAUUAUACUUAGUUGUCCCCUAAUAUCCAUUCUUUCUCUCUUUCAUAACAAGAUAACCUAUCAUUCUACUUGAGGAUAAAACUGCUUGGAAGAAAAAUUGUAUUUUCAAACUCUCAGUAUAUGCAGACCUAUCUGUAUACCAGCAGCCACUUGGGACCAUGAGAAAACUUGGGAAUGAAAGCCACAAACAGGAGAGUAACAGGACAGGAGAGAAGCCUGAGCUCUGGACCUGGUGAGGCACCACACAAUUCCUACUAUACCUUGUUAGACCUGAGAGAAAAAUAAAUUUUGAUCUUGUUAUUUGGGGUAUUCUGUUGUUAUUACUACUCCAAGACAAAUAUAACCCCAACUGACACUGUGUUCUUUCUUCGUGCACCAGGUAUACUGGGCUUAAGUUUUACACAUAACUUACUAC